AUUCUCCAUCACUUUUCAGAAUCAAUCCUCGGAUCAGCAACAAUUCGUUGUUUCAGUCGGGGAAAUCGCUUUUCAAAGAAGAAUUUAUACCUCGUUGAUUACUAUUCUCGUGUUGCCUUUUCCAACUCUAAUACGAUGGAAUGGCUCUGUGUUCGGAUCAACUUUCCAUUCAACCUCGUCUUCUCUCUUCUUCUGAUCAUCUUGGUCAACCUUCCAAGGUCAGCCAUUGAUCCCAGUAAGCAUCCUUUCCCUUCACUUUCAGCUAUUUGUCAGCAAAAGAUAACAAAAGCAGUCAAGUUUAAUGUACAUCAGUAACGACAACAAAACUACAUGAAUCGAUUCAUUGGUGCAGGCCUGGCAGGACUAGCGGCUACCUAUGGUUUGAAUUUAAAUGUUCUCCAAGCAUGGGUUAUAUGGAACCUUUGCAAUGUAGAGAACAAAAUGAUAUCUGUGGAAAGAAUUCUUCAGUUCACUAAAAUAACCCCUGAAGCUCCACUAGUUCUUGACGAUUGCAGACCAGAAACUGAUUGGCCGUUCAAUGGAAAAGUUGAAAUCGAAAAUCUCCAUGUGCAAUACAGGCCUACUCUUCCUAUAGUUCUCAAAGGGAUCACGUGCACCUUUCCAGGUGAAAAGAAAAUCGGUGUUGUGGGACGAACUGGAAGUGGAAAGUCUACCCUGAUCCAAG
rnacentral:lncRNA from 1 species